GAUGAACGCUAGCGACAGGCCUAACACAUGCAAGUCGAGGGGCAUCGGGGUGUAGCAAUACGCUGCCGGCGACCGGCGGAUGGGUGAGUAACGCGUAUGCAACCUGCCUUCAGCAGGGGGAUAGCCCGUUGAAAGACGGAUUAAUACCCCGUAACACAGGGGCUCCGCAUGGAGAUUAUUGUUAAAGGGAUGCUUCCUUCGGGGAGUAUUCCGGCUGAAGAUGGGCAUGCGUUCCAUUAGGUAGUUGGUUGAGGUAACGGCUCACCAAGCCUGCGAUGGAUAGGGGAACUGAGAGGUUGGUCCCCCACACUGGUACUGAGACACGGACCAGACGUCCUACGGGAGGCAGCAGUGAGGAAUCUUGGUCAAUGGACGGAAGUCUGAACCAGCCAUGUCGCGUGAAGGAGGACGGCCCUAAGGGUUGUAAACUUCUUUUGACAGGGGAAUAAAGGUAUUCCACGAGAUGGGAUAUUGCAGUACGCUGCGAAUAAGGAUCGGCUAACUCCGU
rnacentral:rRNA from 1 species